GCGCGUGCUCCCGGAUCCUCGGCAGUGUCCGGCGCCCCCUUCCCUUCGCCAGGCCCGUUUGGCGCCUUCACUCGGGAAGACGUCGGCCAGGACUUUGCGCUUUGGAGACGUCUUACUUCGGCAGCACUCGCACACUGCGAGAUCCGACACGGGCAGCGGGGACCUAGGGAGCCGGGGACGCUGCCUGUCGGGUACGGUUCCGCAGCUACCGCAGCCCCGUGGGCCAUGGUUAGUCUCCCCCCGACACCGCUCCCUCUAGAGCUCCGGGCUUCGGAAGCGGCUGCACGUGGGCAUGGCUGGAGAGGUUCCGCUGGCUUGGGGCAGUCGCCGGGAUUCCGACUGGUUGGUGUGGGGUGUGGCCUGUGCUAUCCAGCUCCCAGCUGAUCCUAAUGUGCGGCACAGCGGAAACCACCGGUCCACAUCAGUGCUUCUCACUUAAAGGGGCUUACGAAUCGUCGGGGGUGGGGGAGCUGGACUUGGAAUUUUUUAAGAGAUGAGGUCUCACUCUGUCACCCAGGCUGGAGUGCAGUGGCGCGAUUACGGCUCACUGCAGACUAGACCUCCUGGGCUCAACUUUAAUGUAAAUUGGGAUUGGGUAGGUCUGUAAGGGGACCCGAGCUCCCCUCCCAUGUUGUUGCCAAGCUCCUGAGCUCGGCCUGGUGGCGGGUGGGGGCCGGGAGGAGAAGGACACGUUAGUAAGGAAGCUGCAGGACGACUCCAGGGGCCUCCCACCUGGUCUCCACCCCCCUCCCCCACCCAUUCUUGACGCUGCAUCCAUGAUUGUUCUAAACAACCUAAAGCAGAAAUCUUAGAGCAAAUAACGAAAACUGGCAGAAGGCCAUUUGAUAUCUCCUUAAAAAAUUCAUGUAAAAAAUUACAUAAACGUUUCAAAGCAGUAUGUAUAAAUUUGAAAUACUGGAAAUGAACGCAGACCAUUAAAGGAAUAGUUAAUUAUUUGAUUCCAUUAUGAAAUACUGUCUAGCCGUCUUAAAAAGGUGUUCAUGAAGCUUUUAGUAUUCAGCAAAACCAAAACAAAUCCCCCUGAAAUAUAGUUUUAACUAUGGAAGAAAAAAAUGUAUAGGAAAAUAACGAAAUAGCCUUUUCGGAGUGAUUUUCUUUUUAACUUCUCGUUUUUAAAUAUUUAAUCAUUUUCUACGAUGGGAAACACCACUUCCUCACACACACUCAUGCUCCCAGACUUUAUUUAGCUACAAACGGCAUCAUAAUACAAAUACUGUUCUGCAGUCCGUGUGUGUUUCAAUGCAACUGCAUUUCUCAGACAUGUUUCUAAGAUUUGAGUCCUUAGUAAAUUUUGUAUUCCAUAUCUCAUUACCUUGAGAUAAGGAAUAAAAGGCCCUGUCCAACCCUGUCACCUGGAAGAGCAUCCAGGCCCUUUAAGGCUUAGUCUAUCUAGGAUUAUGCCUUCAGACUUGGAUACAGCCUCCCGUCCUAACCGGCCCCUGUAUUCAUUACCUCUCCUGUAUGUUUUCAGAGCCCACCAAGGAGCGGCCAUCGCUACUCACUGGCCACUCUUGAAUCCUUUUUGGCUCCUUUUCCUCAGUCCAACCUGGGUUCCUCAGAGAAGAGACUGUAGUCCUGGGACUGCAUUUCUUUUCCGCCCUCUCCCUAUGUGACUGCCCCAAUUCCCAUGGAUUUAAAUAGCAUCUUGACACACAAGAUGCCUCACUUAUCGUCUCCGGCCCUGGCCUCUGCCUGAAUUCCAGGCUAGAAUAUCCACAGUGCGUAAUGGACAUAUGCCCUUAGGUGUUGCACAAACAUCUCAAAUUGAACAUAUCCGGAAAAAUACACUUCUGAACUUCGUAGCAUUCAGAAUAAAACUCAAACCUCCAGAUGGCCGGCAGGGCCUCCAGUGAUGGGAAUCCUGUCUCACCUCACUUGGUGCCACUCUCCCCUUUACUCAUUUUCCUGGCCUUUCCCCGGCCCCACUUACCCAGAAAUCUUUUACUGUGCAUCUCCUAUGUGCCAGGCACCUGAUAGGUGCUGGGAAUAUAGCAGUGGAUGAGAAAGAAAAAAGACCCAGUCCUCAUGGAGCUGACUUCCUAGUGACAGGAGCAGCGGAUAAAGCAAAUCACUGAAGGCAGCUGGAAAUUACUUUCCGGUUAAGAGGACAGGCUCCUUCCCCUCCUCACAUGGCUACCUUCAGAUCACUUGGGUCUCAGCUUAAACACCACCUAUUGACAGAGGCCUCGCAUGUUACCUCAUUCUUUAGCCCUACUUUGCAUCCUUAAAAAGCACUCAUCAAAAUUUGCAAUUAUCUUGUCGGGUUUUUGUUCUUUGGUCUUGAUUCAUAAUGAAUGCAUCGCACUAUUUUGUAAA